AGAGUUUGAUCCUGGCUCAGAACGAACGCUGGCGGCGCGCCUAAUACAUGCAAGUCGAGCGAGAAGGUGUAGCAAUACACUUGUAAAGCGGCGAACGGGUGAGGAAUGCAUGGGUAACCUACCCUCGAGUGGGGAAUAACUAGCCGAAAGGUUAGCUAAUACCGCGUACGCUCCUUGGACUUCGGUUCAGGGAGGAAAGCGCUACCGUGGGUAGCGCGCUCUUGGAUGGGCUCAUGUCCUAUCAGCUUGUUGGUGAGGUAACGGCUCACCAAGGCUUCGACGGGUAGCUGGUCUGAGAGGACGAUCAGCCACACUGGCACUGCGACACGGGCCAGACUCCUACGGGAGGCAGCAGUAAGGAAUAUUGCGCAAUGGGCGAAAGCCUGACGCAGCGACGCCACGUGGGGGAUGAAGGUCUUCGGAUUGUAAACCCCUUUCGGGAGGGAAGAUGGAAUGGGGUAACCCAUUCGGACGGUACCUCCAGAAGCAGCCACGGCUAACUUCGUGCCAGCAGCCGCGGUAAUACGAAGGUGGCAAGCGUUAUUCGGAUUUACUGGGCGUACAGGGAGCGUAGGCGGUUCGGUAAGCCCUCUGUGAAAUCUUCAGACUUAACCUGGAAAAGUCGGAGGGGACUGCCGGGCUAGAGGACGGGAGAGGAGCGCGGAAUUCCCGGUGUAGCGGUGAAAUGCGUAGAGAUCGGGAGGAAGGCCGGUGGCGAAGGCGGCGCUCUGGAACGUUUCUGACGCU
rnacentral:rRNA from 1 species